UCCAUAAGUGGGGCAGUGGUUUGAGUGUUGGACUCUGGCUCUGGAGACCAGGGUUCAAAUCCUUGCUCAGCCAUGGAA